AGAAUGAAGAUGGCUGCUUGGUGAACAAGGCACAUUCUUCAGACAGUGACAGAUCUGUAAAUGCGAUAAUUUGACGAGAGAGAGAGAGAGAACGACCUUUGUCAGUUCCUGGUUGUGGGUGGAUAUGGAAUAUAGUGUGUGUGUGUGUGUGUGUGUGUGUGUGUGUGUGUGUGUGUGUGUGUGUGUGUGUGUGUGUGUGUGUGUGUGUGUGUGUGUGUGUGUGUGUGUGUGUGUGUGUGUGUGUGUGUGUAUUGGGGAAGUGGGAGGUACGAUGUCAGUAAGAAAGCGAUCACAAGUGCUGAGCUGUGCACCAGUGGAGGAUGGAGUUUCCACUGAGGACUAUGUUGCUUCUCUCUCUGGGGCUGCUGGCUCGGGAAACCUUUACCAAAGACGAUAUAAAGCUGUAUGAGACGGCAGAUUUGGAGGUCGUGGAGGGAGACAGCAUCACACUCCAUUGUUGCUUGAGAGCCGUCAACCCCACAAAGUAUAAAGUGAACUGGUUGAAAAAUGAGGAUCAAAUUCUUCACCAACCGACAGCCGUGAGGUAUGACGGAGAGGGCUGUGGUUCGGCCCUGUCGCCUUCGAACAGCGGUACCUGUGGCUGUGCCACCCUGACCCUUCCCAACGUCACCCGCAAGCACACUGGGCGUUACAUCUGCAAGGUGACCAUGGAUAAGCCCAUGCUUAUUCAGUCUUUGGGAAACGGCACGAUGAUCACUGUCACGGAACGACGGAGCCCAACCAACGGAACAACACAAAAAAAUUCCGCUGAACACGCUGCAAUGCAAUUCCCCGUCAUCGUUUCGCUGGGAAUAGUAAUGGCCGCCGCGUUCUUUGUCACUCUGUUAUGUCUGUGGAAGCUGCGGAAGAGACAAGAGUUGGACCGAGCAGCAAGGGUGAUCUAUGAGGUUCCCCACGAGGACUCCGAGGUGGACGGAACCAGCACCAGCUCGUCCAAAGGGUCCUCCCAGUGGUGUCAGGUACCCAUGUAUGAGUCCUUCGACUACUUUGAGUGUGUGGUGGAAAGCAAGGGCGGUGGAUGAAGGAGUCUCAAUCUGUUGUUUCCCUUGUUGGUUUUGUUAAUAUCUCUGAUACGUUCUGUCAUCUGUGUCCAUCCAUGUUGUUUUUUAAACAAGCUAAUUUAAAGUCAUGCAUUAACUGUGAAAUAGCAAAGAAGCCUUGCCAGGUUUAAUUAAAAAUUAUUGUACAGUAUGUAAUUGUGAAUAAAGAUUUUUAAUAUAGUCACUUAUGUUCUCUGUUACUUCUGCUAUGUUUGCGUGUGUGUCUGUCUGUGUGUUUCUCUGUGCAGUUAAGAAGAGGCUAAAUGCAGUAGGCCAGGGAAAGGAAGUGAACAACAUGUCUAUGUUGGUAGUUCUAAUCGAAUGUCGACAUCUAGGCUACCUUUGGUGGUCGACUGGCUUUUCUUUAAAAAAAAUUAAAAAGUUCAAAGAAUUUGCACUUGCAUCCUUUGCAACACAUCGUGAUAAGAAGUGGUUAUAUUUCAAUCACAUCCAUGCUUGCUUAUUCCAAACGUGUUCUAAGCAAGACUUAUGUCGUUCAACGUCUAAACUGGUGACGUUCAACGUAUACAGACGUGUUGACUCUUACAUGUACGUUCACGUAUGACUGUUUGAUCGAGAAAGAGUUUGUGUGUGUGUGUGUGCCUGUGUGUGUGUGUGUGUGUGUGCGUCUGUGUGUGUCUGUGUGUGUGUCUGAUGGAAGUGGGAGGUACGAUGUCUGUAAGAAAGCGAUCACAAGAGCUGAGUGGUGCAUCAGUGGAGGAUGGAGUUUCCACUGAAGACUAUGUUGCUUCUCUCUCUGGGGCCGCUGCUGGCUCGGGAAAUUGUACAAGGGAAGGACAUAAAGCUGUAUCAGACGGCAGAUUUGGAGGUCAUCGAGGGAGACAGCGUCACACUCCAUUGUUGCUGGACAGCCGUCAACCAUCAACAGUAUAGAGUGAAAUGGUUGAAAAGUGAGGUUAAAAUUCCUCACCAACCGACAGCCGUGAGGUAUGACGGAGAGGGCUGUGGUUCGGCCCUGUCACCUGUGAACAACGGUACCUGUGGCUGUGCCACCCUGACCCUUCCCAAUGUCACCCGCAACCACACUGGGCGUUACAUCUGCCAGGUGAACAAAGUGAGGCCCAUGUUUAUUCAGUUUGGGGGAAACGGCACGAUGAUCACCGUCACAGAACGACGGAGCCCCACCAACGGCACAACACAAGAAAGGUUGGACCGAGCAGCAAGGGUGAUCUAUGAGGUUCCCCACGAGGACUCUGAGGUGGACGGAACCAGCACCAGCUUGUCCAAAGGGUCCUCCCAGUGGUGUCGGGUACCCGUGUAUGAGUCCUUCGACUACUUUGAGCGUGUGGUGGAAAGCAAGGGCGGUGGAUGAAGGAGUCUCAAUCGGUUCUUUCCCUUGUUGGUUUUGUAAAUAUCUCUGAUACAUUACGUCAUCUUCUGUGUCCAUCCAUGUUGUUUUUAAACAAGCUAAUUGAAAGUCAUACAUUAACUGUGAAAUAGCUUAUUAGAUGUAAUUAAUGAUGAGUGAUGAUUGUAUGUAACUGUGAAUAAAGUAUUUAACAUAGUAACUGAUGUUCUCUUAUACUUCAGCUAUGGAACAGUAGAGCGCAAUAUGGUCUGGCCUUUAUUUCCACAAGGCCUGUGUGUGUGUGUGUGUGUGUGUGUGUGUGUGUGUGUGUGUGUGUGUGUGUGUGUGUGUGUGUGUGUGUGUGUGUGUGUGUGUGUGUGUGUGUGUGUGUGUGUGUGUGUGUGUGUGUGUGGAUCUUUUGCGGAUGCAUGUUUU